UGGGGAAUAUUGCACAAUGGAGGGAACUCUGAUGCAGCAACGCCGCGUGCGGGAUGACGGCCUUCGGGUUGUAAACCGCUUUCAGCCAUGACGAAGCUUUUGUGACGGUAGUGGUAGAAGAAGCACCGGCUAACUACGUGCCAGCAGCCGCGGUGAUACGUAGGGUGCGAGCGUUGUCCGGAAUUAUUGGGCGUAAAGAGCUUGUAGGCGGUUUGUCGCGUCGAAAGUGUAAACUCAGUGCUUAACGCUGAGCCUGCUUUCGAUACGGGCUGACUAGAGGAGGGUAGGGGAGAAUGGAAUUCCCGGUGGAGCGGUGGAAUGCGCAGAUAUCGAGAGGAACACCAGUGGCGAAGGCGGUUCUCUGGACCUUUCCUGACGCUGAGAAGCGAAAGCGUGGGUAGCAAACAGG
rnacentral:rRNA from 1 species